rnacentral:rRNA from 1 species
UGAUCUAUCCAUGGCCAGGAUGAAGGUGCCGUAACAGGUACUGGAGGUCCGAACCCACUAAUGUUGCAAAAUUAGGGGAUGAGCUGUGGAUAGGGGUGAAAGGCUAAACAAACUCGGAGAUAGCUGGUUCUCCCCGAAAACUAUUUAGGUAGUGCCUCGAGGUACACUGAUGGGGGUAAAGCACUGUUAUGGCUAGGGGGUUAUUGCAACUUACCAACCCAUGGCAAACUAAGAAUACCAUCAAGUGAUUCCUCGGGAGACAGACAUCGGGUGCUAACGUCCGGUGUCAAGAGGGAAACAACCCAGACCGCCAGCUAAGGUCCCAAAUGAUAGAUUAAGUGGUAAACGAAGUGAGAAGGCCCAGACAGCUAGGAUGUUGGCUUAGAAGCAGCCAUCAUUUAAAGAAAGCGUAAUAGCUCACUAGUCGAGUCGUCUUGCGCGGAAGAUGUAACGGGGCUCAAAUCUAUAACCGAAGCUGCGGAUGUGCGCUUAGGCGUAUGUGGUAGGGGAGCGUUCUGUAGGCCUGCGAAGGUGUGUUGUGAAGCAUGCUGGAGGUAUCAGAAGUGCGAAUGUUGACAUGAGUAGCGAUAAAGGGGGUGAAAAGCCCCCUCGCCGAAAGCCCAAGGUUUCCUACGCAACGUUCAUCGGCGUAGGGUGAGUCGGCCCCUAAGGCGAGGCAGAGAUGCGUAGUCGAUGGGAAACAGGUUAAUAUUCCUGUACUUGAUUUAAGUGCGAUGUGGGGACGGAGAAGGUUAGGUCAGCAAACUGUUGGAAUAGUUUGUUCAAGCCGGUAGGUGGGGAGCUUAGGUAAAUCCGGGCUCCUAUUCAACACCGAGAAGUGAUAACGAGGUUCUACGGAACUGAAGUGACCAAUACCACGCUUCCAGGAAAAGCCACUAAGCUUCAGCUUAAAUCGAACCGUACCGCAAACCGACACAGGUGGGCAGGAUGAGAAUUCUAAGGCGCUUGAGAGAACUCAGGAGAAGGAACUCGGCAAAUUGAUACCGUAACUUCGGGAGAAGGUAUGCCCCAUAACGUUAAGGAUUUACUCCGUAAGCGAUGUGGGGCCGCAGAGAAUAGGUGGCUGCGACUGUUUAUUAAAAACACAGCACUCUGCUAACACGAAAGUGGACGUAUAGGGUGUGACGCCUGCCCGGUGCUGGAAGGUUAAUUGAAGAUGUGCAAGCAUCGGAUCGAAGCCCCAGUAAACGGCGGCCGUAACUAUAACGGUCCUAAGGUAGCGAAAUUCCUUGUCGGGUAAGUUCCGACCCGCACGAAUGGCGUAACGAUGGCCACACUGUCUCCUCCCGAGACUCAGCGAAGUUGAAAUGGUUGUGAAGAUGCAAUCUCCCCGCUGCUAGACGGAAAGACCCCGUGAACCUUUACUGUAGCUUUGCAUUGGACUUUGAAGUCACUUGUGUAGGAUAGGUGGGAGGCUUAGAAGCAGAGACGCUAGUUUCUGUGGAGCCGUCCUUGAAAUACCACCCUGGUGACUUUGAGGUUCUAACCCAGAUCCGUUAUCCGGAUCGGGGACCGUGCAUGGUAGGCAGUUUGACUGGGGCGGUCUCCUCCCAAAGAGUAACGGAGGAGUUCGAAGGUUACCUAGGUCCGGUCGGAAAUCGGACUGAUAGUGCAAUGGCAAAAGGUAGCUUAACUGCGAGACCCACAAGUCGAGCAGGUGCGAAAGCAGGACAUAGUGAUCCGGUGGUUCUGUAUGGAAGGGCCAUCGCUCAACGGAUAAAAGGUAC